rnacentral:rRNA from 1 species
AUGAACGCUGGCGGCGUGCCUAAUACAUGCAAGUCGAGCGAACAGACGAGGAGCUGCUCCCCCUGACGUUAGCGGCGGACGGGUGAGUAACACGUGGAUAACCUACCUAUAAGACUGGGAUAACUUCGGGAAACCGGAGCUAAUACCCGGAUAAUAUAUUGAACCGCAUGGUUCAAUAGUGAAAGACGGUUUUGCUGUCACUUAUAGAUGGAUCCGCGUCGCAUUAGCUAGUUGGUAAGGUAACGGCUUACCAAGGCAACGAUGCGUAGCCGACCUGAGAGGGUGAUCGGCCACACUGGAACUGAGACACGGUCCAGACUCCUACGGGAGGCAGCAGUAGGGAAUCUUCCGCAAUGGGCGAAAGCCUGACGGAGCAACGCCGCGUGAGUGAUGAAGGUCUUCGGAUCGUAAAACUCUGUUAUUAGGGAAGAACAAAUGUGUAAGUAACUAUGCACGUCUUGACGGUACCUAAUCAGAAAGCCACGGCUAACUACGUGCCAGCAGCCGCGGUAAUACGUAGGUGGCAAGCGUUAUCCGGAAUUAUUGGGCGUAAAGCGCGCGUAGGCGGUUUUUUAAGUCUGAUGUGAAAGCCCACGGCUCAACCGUGGAGGGUCAUUGGAAACUGAAAAACUUGAGUGCAGAAGAGGAAAGUGGAAUUCCAUGUGUAGCGGUGAAAUGCGCAGAGAUAUGGAGGAACACCAGUGGCGAAGGCGACUUUCUGGUCUGUAACUGACGCUGAUGUGCGAAAGCGUGGGGAUCAAACAGGAUUAGAUACCCUGGUAGUCCACGCCGUAAACGAUGAGUGCUAAGUGUUAGGGGGUUUCCGCCCCUUAGUGCUGCAGCUAACGCAUUAAGCACUCCGCCUGGGGAGUACGACCGCAAGGUUGAAACUCAAAGGAAUUGACGG